rnacentral:rRNA from 1 species
AGCGAACGCUGGCGGCAGGCCUAACACAUGCAAGUCGAACGGAUCCUUCGGGAUUAGUGGCGGACGGGUGAGUAACACGUGGGAACGUGCCCUUUGGUUCGGAACAACUCAGGGAAACUUGAGCUAAUACCGGAUGUGCCCUUCGGGGGAAAGAUUUAUCGCCAUUGGAGCGGCCCGCGUCGUAUUAGCUAGUUGGUGAGGUAAAGGCACACCAAGGCGACGAUCAGUAGCUGGUCUGAGAGGAUGAUCAGCCACAUUGGGACUGAGACACGGACCAAACUCCUACGGGGGGCAGCAGUGGGGAAUCUUGCGCAAGGGGCGAAAGCCUGACGCGGCCAUGCCGCGUGAAUGAUGAAGGUCUUAGGAUUGUAAAAUUCUUUCACCGGGGACGAUAAUGACGGUACCCGGAGAAGAAGCCCCGGCUAACUUCGUGCCAGCAGCCGCGGUAAUAC